rnacentral:rRNA from 1 species
AUUGAACGCUGGCGGCAUGCCUUACACAUGCAAGUCGAACGGUAACAGGUCCUCGGAUGCUGACGAGUGGCGAACGGGUGAGUAAUACAUCGGAACGUGCCUAGUAGUGGGGGAUAACUACUCGAAAGAGUGGCUAAUACCGCAUGAGAUCUACGGAUGAAAGCAGGGGAUCGCAAGACCUUGUGCUUCUAGAGCGGCCGAUGGCAGAUUAGGGAGUUGGUGGUAUAAAAGCUUACCAAGCCGACGAUCUGUAGCUGGUCUGAGAGGACGAUCGGCCACACUGGGACUGGGAAACGGCCCAGACUCCUACGGGGGACAGCAGUGGGGAAUUUUGGACAAUGGGCGAAAGCCUGAUCCAGCAAUGCCGCGUGCAGGAUGAAGGCCUUCGAGUUGUAAACUGCUUUUGUACGGAACGAAAAGCCCCGGGUUAAUACCCUGGGGUCAUGACGGUACCGUAAGAAUAAGCACCGGCUAACUACGUGCCAGCCGCCGCGGUAA